AUUCUAUCGAAGCGUGGAGCUUGUACGGACGAGUUUCGUUAAUCGGAACAAUUAAAUCAAGAAUAACCGGUAACAGUUCACAGGUUUUAGACACAAAUGAAAGGAAUAGCUAAUGAGGACAAUAACGAGUACGCUGCUAACUAAAAAUCUUUCAGAAAUAAAGUAUUUUACGCUUGUGUUGUGUCUUAUGGAAGGCAGAGUGACUAAUAGCUUCUGAAGGUUGAGCGAAAAGAAAUGAUGGGAUAUAGUGGCUAACUUACACCAUUGCGAUUAACACAAAAUGAGUAGUAUUGUAGGAUAUAUAAGCAAGCUGGUACGGUGUACGAGAGUACCAUAAUAC